rnacentral:rRNA from 1 species
GACGAACGCUGGCGGCGUGCUUAACACAUGCAAGUCGAACGGAAAGCGCUCUUCGGAGUGACUCGAGUGGCGAACGGGUGAGUAACACGUGGGUGAUCUGCCCUGCACUUUGGGAUAAGCCUGGGAAACUGGGUCUAAUACCGGAUAGGACUACGGCCUGCAUGGGUUGUGGUGGAAAGCUUUUGCGGUGUGGGAUGGGCCCGCGGCCUAUCAGCUUGUUGGUGGGGUGAUGGCCUACCAAGGCGACGACGGGUAGCCGGCCUGAGAGGGUGUCCGGCCACACUGGGACUGAGAUACGGCCCAGACUCCUACGGGAGGCAGCAGUGGGGAAUAUUGCACAAUGGGCGCAAGCCUGAUGCAGCGACGCCGCGUGAGGGAUGACGGCCUUCGGGUUGUAAACCUCUUUCAGCAGGGACGAAGCGCAAGUGACGGUACCUGUAGAAGAAGCACCGGCCAACUACGUGCCAGCCGCCGCAGUAACAC